rnacentral:rRNA from 1 species
UACGUAGGGUGCGAGCGUUAAUCGGAAUUACUGGGCGUAAAGCGUGCGCAGGCGGCGCGUUAAGACAGGUGUGAAAGCCCCGAGCUUAACUUGGGAAUUGCGCUUGUGACUGGCGAGCUGGAGUGUGGCAGAGGGAGGUGGAAUUCCACGUGUAGCAGUGAAAUGCGUAGAGAUGUGGAGGAACACCGAUGGCGAAGGCAGCCUCCUGGGCCAGCACUGACGCUCAUGCACGAAAGCGUGGGGAGCGAUCCGG